AAUCAGAUAACCUUGUUUGUAAAUCCUAAAAGCAAGGAUUAGAUGAUAGGGAGAGGCUGGCUUGAUGCAAGUAUAUAAUUGUAAAUCAGAGGUAUUCAGUAAGUGGCUUGAAAAGAGGUUUGCUGCUUCUAUCAUUACUGGUUUGCCCUGACGUGAUUAGCCAUGUUUAACCCGUUUCUUGGAAUAAGUGCCAUCUCUAUUCGAGCUUGGUGACACCAUGAUUCCGUCAAGAACCGUGUUCUGACCCCUUAAAAAAUAAUCUGUCUGUUGAUUAUUUUAAAACCUAUCAUUUUCUAUAAUGUAUUGAACCUAGAGGUCUUUUCAUUAUCUAUAGGGCAUCACAAAAAAAUAGUCUGCAACAUCC